GACCACUGCGGUGGCCUAGUGGUUAGAGCAUCCUCCAUGGAUGUGGAAGGUCGUGGGUUCCAACCCCGGCUAAGUCA